rnacentral:rRNA from 1 species
GGUUAAGCGACUAAGCGUACACGGUGGAUGCCCUGGCAGUCAGAGGCGAUGAAGGGCGUGCUAAUCUGCGAUAAGCGCCGGUAAGGUGAUAUGAACCGUUAUAACCGGCGAUACCCGAAUGGGGAAACCCAGUGUGACUCGUCACACUAUCAUUAACUGAAUCCAUAGGUUAAUGAGGCGAACCGGGGGAACUGAAACAUCUAAGUACCCCGAGGAAAAGAAAUCAACCGAGAUUCCCCCAGUAGCGGCGAGCGAACGGGGAGGAGCCCAGAGCCUGAAUCAGCAUGUGUGUUAGUGGAAGCGUCUGGAAAGGCGCGCGAUACAGGGUGACAGCCCCGUACACAAAAGCGCAUGUGCUGUGAGCUCGAUGAGUAGGGCGGGACACGUGGUAUCCUGUCUGAAUAUGGGGGGACCAUCCUCCAAGGCUAAAUACUCCUGACUGACCGAUAGUGAACCAGUACCGUGAGGGAAAGGCGAAAAGAACCCCGGCGAGGGGAGUGAAAAAGAACCUGAAACCGUGUACGUACAAGCAGUGGGAGCACCCUUUGGGGUGUGACUGCGUACCUUUUGUAUAAUGGGUCAGCGACUUAUAUUCUGUAGCAAGGUUAACCGAAUAGGGGAGCCGGAGGGAAACCGAGUCUUAACCGGGCGUUAAGUUGCAGGGUAUAGACCCGAAACCCGGUGAUCUAGCCAUGGGCAGGUUGAAGGUUGGGUAACACUAACUGGAGGACCGAACCGACUAAUGUUGAAAAAUUAGCGGAUGACCUGUGGCUGGGGGUGAAAGGCCAAUCAAACCGGGAGAUAGCUGGUUCUCCCCGAAAGCUAUUUAGGUAGCGCCUCGUGAAUUCAUCUCCGGGGGUAGAGCACUGUUUCGGCUAGGGGGCCAUCCCGGCUUACCAACCCGAUGCAAACUGCGAAUACCGGAGAAUGUUAUCACGGGAGACACACGGCGGGUGCUAACGUCCGUCGUGAAGAGGGAAACAACCCAGACCGCCAGCUAAGGUCCCAAAGUCAUGGUUAAGUGGGAAACGAUGUGGGAAGGCCCAGACAGCCAGGAUGUUGGCUUAGAAGCAGCCAUCAUUUAAAGAAAGCGUAAUAGCUCACUGGUCGAGUCGGCCUGCGCGGAAGAUGUAACGGGGCUAAACCAUGCACCGAAGCUGCGGCAGCGACGCUGAUGCGUUGUUGGGUAGGGGAGCG